rnacentral:lncRNA from 1 species
GGUGUAGAGACAUUGGAGUGACAGUGCAGAUGGUUAUUAGAGAACAACUUGCACUGAGCGUGACCAACAUGAGAACCACAUGGAUGUAUACUCACUUGUCAGUGAUCUUCUCGAUGCUGCAGUAGUGUGAGUGGUCCUUUGACCUACGGUGUCAUUGACUAUUCGCAGUAAGGCUACUGGGUUUAACUGCACUUUCUCUUAGUCUCUAGCCAUUUGGGUCUUUACUGUAUAUGUUGGCUUCAAUAGGUUCAGGUUCACUGUUUGGAGUAGGAUGUACCU